AAUAAGUGCAGUUUUGCACUAUUCACGCUCAACGUUUGACCGUUCGUCUUAUUUGAAAAUUUUUUAUGAUUAGUAUUUUUAUUGCUAUUAGAUGAUAAAACAUGAAUAAUAUUUUUUGUGUGACUAAAUAUUUUCAAAUUUUUCGUAAAUUUUUCAAAUAAGACGGACGGUCAAACGUUGGACACGGAUAUCCACGACUGCACUUAUU
rfam:Oryza glumipatula chromosome 7, whole genome shotgun sequence.